GAUAAGAACAAAGAUUAAAAUUGUAAGAAGAGCUGCUUGUAAGAGCAUACAGUACAUCUGAAACUGCUGAGGCUGGGAAGGUUUUUGACUAUAUUUCCGACCAGAUCAGCUGCUAUGGAAGACAAACUGAAAUCUGAAUGCAGAGACAAGCAAAGGAAUACUGCAAGGCACUUGUGCAUAAUAUUGUAUGCCAGGACGACUAGGCUGUGCCCAGGUCUCCGGAACCUGCGACGACGCUCAGCUCCAUCGGCCCUCCAUCUACAUCUUGGCUCCUCCCUCCCUCGACUCCGCCGUGUAUUGUCAGCACUGGGAUGCUCUGGGUCUGUGCCAUGUGCCAAACUCCAUCUAAGCCGCCAGGGCAUCAUCAUCAUCCUCCCAUCACCACAUCCUGCCAUCAUCCCGUACCUUUGCCUCUCACCAUUCCUACACCAUCUCCUCGUCCACCUCCAAAACCCCCUCCAUCCCUCCCUAUUCUGUUGCUUGAACUUUAUCAUCUUCAGUCUUUGCACACACAUCUAUUCAC